CUGAACUCGAGUAGGGCCCAAGCCAGCCAGGAAGGAGGAGGCAGCCAGAGUGUUCUCUGCAGCAGAAGACUCCUUGCUGCCCUGCUUAACCCAGACCAGCAUUUGCCAGGUACUGCAUGAGUAACAGUUGACAACACAAGGAAUUCUGAAAUUUAGGAAAAUACCCCAUUGCCCCCAUUUUGGAUGAGAUUGCAAUUGCCCUGGAAGAGCAAGUGAACAGCUUGGGAGUACUCCUGGACCUGACACUGUUCCUGGAUGCCCAGGAUCAGCAGUAUUCAUAAGUGACUGAAGCUAGGAUACUCCAAGGAGCUAGAUAUGAACAGCUGCUCUAACACUUUCUUCUUGAUACUACGACAAGAAGUGUGAACAGAUGUCACGCUUACAUGCCCACAUUAAGAAGUAAUCCUCAUUGGCUUCCUUCCAAGAAGAUAUCUAUAGGAUUGCACUGCGAGUGCUAUACAAAUAAAUAUCAAAGGAUGGAGCUGUUGGCCCGGGUCCAUGAUCUUUGAAAAACCUAACAACAGCUCUGGAGAGUUAUCAAAGGAGACUGUGAGGAACAAAACUGGAAAGAGGAGGAGAAGGAGCAAGGAAAAACCCUGAGCACCCCAACGAAGAGCAGAUGAGAAUGACGUGGCCACCCCACUAUAUAGCUCACCAAUCAGACGAGCAGCAUCCACAGAAAGAAGGGAAGCAGAAUGGCUUGCUGACAGACUGAAAAUCACCCUGAGAGUAUCCACAUGUCGAUAGCAUGGCUAGCAGGGAAGAUGAACUGAACCUUCUCCCACUGCUGGUGAGCCGCUCCUUCCUUCCCCAGCCCCUGCCAUGUGUGAGAAAGAAUGAGAGAAAGAGGGAGGCUUCCUCUCUGCAAGGGAGGGAGGAAGAACGGAAGUGGGAAGGAGGGGGAAGAAAGAAGAUGGCCGGAGGUACCUUCCCCACAGGAGUGAAUGGAGUGAGCAGAGGGUAUGGACUUCUGGUGAAAGGACAUAUAGAUGAUAUAGAUCCCCAAGGAAGGAAUCACUAUGAACUGCUCCUUCUCCCUACACAUACACCCACAUGCCCCUCCAGAGGCUGCAGGGUUCCAACCAAAGUGUUCUCCAGUUUGGAAAUCUAUGCACGUGUGCACAUUCCCCCCGCCCCCAACACUGCCCAAAGUUCUGGUAUACAGGAGCUACAUUUGAAAAAAUGCAAUAUAUACAAGGCUCAAGGUUGACUCAGCCUUCCAUCCUUCCGAGGUCGGUAAAAUGAGUACCCAGAAUAUUGGGGGCAAUAUGCUAAAUCAUUGUAAACCGCUUAGAGAGCUCCGGCUAUAGAGCGGUAUAUAAAUGUAAGUGCUAUUGCUAUUGCUAUUGCUAUAUAUUAGGCAGAUAUUCAUAGUUUGGGCUCAUUGUUAGCCUUCAAGAGAGCCCUAAAGACUUACUUGUUUGGCCUGGCCUUCCAAGGUUUUAAAAUUAUUUUUAAGUACUUUUAAUUGGUUUUAAAUUGCUCUGAACUGUUUUAAAUUGUUAUAUUGUUUUAACCUGUUUGUUUUAAAUGGUUGUGUUUUUGUUUUGUUUUUGUAUUUUACUUGCUGUGCACCACCCAGAGCCUUUGGAUGGCGUCGUAAUAAAUAAUAAAUAUAGCUGUGACCUACAUUAGCAACUUUGACCCUUACAUCCCAAUUGUCAUAUUAAAAAAAUUACGCACAUGACGUAAUUCGCUAUGUCUUUUGUGGAUGAUAGUAAACUGUCAAAAUUGACUGGAGGAGUUGGAGCUGUAUGCUACUUACUUG